rnacentral:snoRNA from 1 species
GCGGUUGAUGAUCAAUAUCCUCGGCGCCCAACAGUGAGGUCCUUAUUUACUCUCGCUCUGCCUGCAAAGGUGGCGGUCGCUUCACGGCGAUUGUAUAGAGAGUGGCGAUGAUCUGUACCCCGAUUUCCAGAGGUCUGCCUUCGGGCGCUUUGGCGGGGUGGGUGUCGAUGGAAGUCUGACGC